CAGUCGAGGGGUAGAGUUAGCUUGCUAACUUGAGACCGGCGCACGGGUGCGUAACGCGUAUGCAAUCUACCUUUCACAAAGGGAUAGCCCAGAGAAAUUUGGAUUAAUACCUUAUAGUAUAUAUGAAUGGCAUCAUUUAUAUAUUAAAGAUUUAUCGGUGAAAGAUGAGCAUGCGUCCCAUUAGCUAGUUGGUAAGGUAACGGCUUACCAAGGCAACGAUGGGUAGGGGUCCUGAGAGGGAGAUCCCCCACACUGGUACUGAGACACGGACCAGACUCCUACGGGAGGCAGCAGUGAGGAAUAUUGGACAAUGGGCGCAAGCCUGAUCCAGCCAUGCCGCGUGCAGGAUGACGGUCCUAUGGAUUGUAAACUGCUUUUAUACAGGAAGAAACACUUGCUCGUGAGCAAACUUGACGGUACUGUAAGAAUAAGGAUCGGCUAACUCCGUGCCAGCAGCCGCGGUAAUACGGAGGAUCCAAGCGUUAUCCGGAAUCAUUGGGUUUAAAGGGUCCGUAGGCGGUCAGGUAAGUCAGUGGUGAAAGCCCAUCGCUCAACGGUGGAACGGCCAUUGAUACUGUCUGACUUGAAUUAUUAGGAAGUAACUAGAAUAUGUAGUGUAGCGGUGAAAUGCUUAGAGAUUACAUGGAAUACCAAUUGCGAAGGCAGGUUACUACUAAUAUAUUGACGCUGAUGGACGAAAGCGUGGGUA
rnacentral:rRNA from 1 species